rnacentral:lncRNA from 1 species
GGAGUUUCUGCGACAAGAGAAAUACACAAAUUUAUGUCUAGUAGGUAUUUUGGGUGUUUAGGGUUGAUUCAUAAAUUCAUAAAUUCAUAAAUUUAUUGACAAGAAAGGCGCGAUUGGUGAAGUACGGCGGCACUGUUAGGAAGAAGAAAGGCUCGUUUCUUCGAAACAGGCGCGACUUGACACUUGGGCUAAGGGAAACUGCAGCCUACCCGUUUUUACCGUAAGAUUGCUUUUUCUCUUUAGCCGUUCAGAUAAUUUAGAUGGCUGGAUUUGAUUCUCAUAUAAGGUUCGCACAUAAGCAUUCUCACUAGAUAGCCACCCAAUAUUAAAUAGGGUAUGGGCCUAAUGGAGGCAAAGUUGGGCUUUGAAUAAAAAUAAAAAUAUAUAC